rnacentral:lncRNA from 1 species
GAAAUUUGCAAUUUUCAGUCAUUUUAGAUUACAAACGGGAAAUUGACAGCCCGAUACGCUUUGAGGCUGUCAAUUUCCCGUUUGUAAUCUAAAAUGACUGAAAAUUGCAAACUUCGAAAGGCUAUAUUAUCCGCAUUUUACAACAUUUCGCAACGAAACUUUGCAAUAUUAUUAAUUUUGUGAUGCGCUUUCAAGCUGUGAUGAAAUUUUUGUCUAGGCUUGUUUAGAUCAAAAUUUUGUCUGUUACGCAAAUGGUCAAUUAUCCGAAAUGCCUUAUACAUUUUCAAACCUGCUUUUUAAAACUAAAAUCUUAAAUAAAAGCGUACAGUGUUUAACGCUUUAAAAACUAAGAGUGUUUUCGUGAUUUGACAAACUCUUUUGAGUUUAUUAAACACGCGAGAAGUUGGAAGGUAUGUAAACGAAAAAGCCGCAUAAACAUGCGCCCGGCUGACCUGGGUGCUUUCUCAACCUCCCAAGUGCUCUCCCAACUUUCCGAACUUUUCUUAAAAGUUAUAUACAUGUAGUUUUAUGGUUUAAAGUCUUUAAAAUGCGAGGGGUUCCUUCAUGUAUGUAUUUCUAUGUAGUAAAUAUUUAAAAGCGUGUAUAGCCGGGCUAAAUGGCAAGGCUAUAUUUUGUUAAUUAACUAUGGAAAGUGUAUUUGAUUUUCGUUACAUUUGUGUAACUUAAUUUAACCAUGAUAUAGAAGGCGCUAGAGUGCAAAAUAACUGUGAGAAAGGAUGUCUUUAUUUGACCAUGUUUGACUACAACAAAUGUGUUUCGCCAACGCAUUUUCCCAGUGCAUCACUUAAAACAGAGAAGCCUCUUAUUGCUUCAUAACUCUUAAAUAGUUCCGGGCCAUCAGGGCCGUAGGAAGCUCUUUUCGAUUGGGGGGGGGGGGGGCUGAAAUCGAGGGCCGAAGGCCCGGGGAAAU